rnacentral:rRNA from 1 species
GCUUGCAGCCAUAGCACCCUGAGCACGCCCGAGCUCGUCUGAUCUUGGAAGCUAAUCGGAAGGUUGGUGGUUUGAUCCCUGGCUGCUUCAGUCUGCAUGCC